rnacentral:rRNA from 1 species
CCGAGAGCGGGAUCGGCCUUCGGGCCGGGUCCCGGGGGGGUCUCGCCCCCCGACUCUUCCACCCCGUGUAUAUCUACCCCUGUUGCUUCGGCGAGCGUCGCGGUGCCUCGGCGCCGCGGCCCCGGCCUCGGCCGGUGAGCUCUCGCCAGAGGCCCAUCACGAUUCUGUUUCAGUGACGUCCGAGUACAACGAUUAAAUCAAUCAAAACUUUCAACAACGGAUCUCUUGGUUCUGGCAUCGAUGAAGAACGCAGCGAAAUGCGAUAAGUAAUGUGAAUUGCAGAAUUCAGUGAAUCAUCGAAUCUUUGAACGCACAUUGCGCCCCUUGGUAUUCCGAGGGGCAUGCCUGUUCGAGCGUCAUUGCACCCCUCAAGCGUAGCUUGGUAUUGGGCGCUCGUCACCGCUGCUUCGGCGGUGGCGUGCCCGUAAACUAGUGGCGGUCCAGGGAGACUUCAAGCGCAGUAAAACGUUCCGCUUUCGAGGUCUCGCCUGCGGUCCGGCCGGGAACCCCCCGAAAUUUCUCAAUGAUGACCUCGGAUCA